rnacentral:rRNA from 1 species
AUUGAACGCUGGCGGCAUGCCUUACACAUGCAAGUCGAACGGCAGCACGGGAGCAAUCCUGGUGGCGAGUGGCGAACGGGUGAGUAAUACAUCGGAACGUGCCCAAUCGUGGGGGAUAACGCAGCGAAAGCUGUGCUAAUACCGCAUAAGAUCUACGGAUGAAAGCAGGGGAUCGCAAGACCUUGCGCGAAUGGAGCGGCCGAUGGCAGAUUAGGUAGUUGGUGAGGUAAAGGCUCACCAAGCCUUCGAUCUGUAGCUGGUCUGAGAGGACGACCAGCCACACUGGGACUGAGACACGGCCCAGACUCCUACGGGAGGCAGCAGUGGGGAAUUUUGGACAAUGGGCGAAAGCCUGAUCCAGCCAUGCCGCGUGCAGGAUGAAGGCCUUCGGGUUGUAAACUGCUUUUGUACGGAACGAAAAGUCUCUUUCUAAUAAAGAGGGAUCAUGACGUACCUAAGAUAGCCC